AUACGUAGGGUGCAAGCGUUGUCCGGAAUUAUUGGGCGUAAAGAGCUUCGUAGGUGGUUUGUCGCGUUGUUCGUGAAAUCUCACGGCUUAAACUGUGAGCGUGCGGGCGAUACGGGCAGACUAGAGUACUGCAGGGGAGACUGGAAUUCCUGGUGUAGCGGUGGAAUGCGCAGAUAUCAGGAGGAACACCAGUGGCGAAGGCGGGUCUCUGGGCAGUAACUGACGCUGAGGAGCGAAAGCGUGGGGAGCGAACAGG
rnacentral:rRNA from 1 species